GAGCAGCUGAUGCAUGAUGUGAUGCUCUUCACUGAUUUAUGGACAUAUGCCAACUCUCAGUUUGUCUCUCCAAGGAAAGGAUGCUGCCUGACUCACUGAGCGUUUCUGUUUUCUGGAAGAUGCUGAGUUGGUUGGCAAGGUGAAGGGAGCUCCGGAGGAACCUGAGUGGAGUGGUGAAAAGCAGGGAGAACUUUGACAAGCGUCUGCAAACGUGACAAAAAUAUCAGAACGUGGCCCUCGGAAACGGGAGACGACAGGGUUCAAACAGCAGUCCACCGUGUUGUGUUGAGUCCCAGCAGGGAAGCAGCUCUUCCUGAGAGCAGGACAGACAGCGGGAACAGCUUCAGGGCAACGGCGCAAGCAGAAGCCAGUCCGUCAGUGGAUGGAUCCAUCUCCAGGUCCUGAGCUGCAAGGUGAAAGGUGGGAACUGGGGGUCUCUGCGCACGGAUGGCUGGGACAAUGUGCAGGUACGGCAAAUAUUCAGGAAGAUAACAUUCUGCUGGAAGUGGAUCUGAGUACAACAGUGGAGAAGCCUUGCUCCAGUUGUACAGAUUCCCAGUGAGACUGCACAUGGAACAUAGCGUGCAAGUCUGGUCUCCUCCCUAGGAGAUCCUUGCGAUAGAGAGAAUGCAGUGAGUGUUCACCAGACUGAUUCCUGGAUGGCGCGUUUGCCACACGAGGAGAGAUUAUAUUAGACUGGGCCUAUAACGAGGCAUUACAUCACCUCUUUCCGCCAACAUUUUCUUUAAGGGUGUUGACCACUGACAGCCUCAUGAAGGCGCCAUGCCAUCAGUGGCUGCCACCAUUGGGCAGGAGGGACAGAAGCCUGAAGUCCCACACCACCAGGUUCAGUAACAGCAACUUUCCUACAAGCACUUGGUUCUUGAACUGACCUGCACAACCCUAACCCUCCCUCAGCAAGGGAACACUACGGACCACCUCUUGCACUACUGUGGACGUCUCUGUUUUUUCUUUGCACUGAUGUCUAGUUUUGCAUAAUUUUCCCCACCGGCUUGGGUAAUUUAUAUUCUGUGUGUUGUCUGAAUCUCUGUGCCUGUGAUGC